GAUGAACGCUGGCGGCGUGCCUAAUACAUGCAAGUCGAGCGAACAGACGAGGAGCUUGCUCCCUUGACGUUAGCGGCGGACGGGUGGGUAACACGUGGAUAACCUACCUAUAAGACUGGGAUAACUUCGGGAAACCGGAGCUAAUACCGGAUAACAUGUUGAACCGCAUGGUUCAACAGUGAAAGACGGUCUUGCUGUCACUUAUAGAUGGAUCCGCGCCGCAUUAGCUAGUUGGUAAGGUAACGGCUUACCAAGGCAACGAUGCGUAGCCGACCUGAGAGGGUGAUCGGCCACACUGGAACUGAGACACGGUCCAGACUCCUACGGGAGGCAGCAGUAGGGAAUCUUCCGCAAUGGGCGAAAGCCUGACGGAGCAACGCCGCGUGAGUGAAGAAGGUCUUCGGAUCGUAAAACUCUGUUAUUAGGGAAGAACAAAUGUGUAAGUAACUAUGCACGUCUUGACGGUACCUAAUCAGAAAGCCACGGCUAACUACGUG
rnacentral:rRNA from 1 species